AUUGAACGCUGGCGGCAGGCUUAACACAUGCAAGUCGAACGCAUCGCAAGAUGAGUGGCAGACGGGUGAGUAACGCGUGGGAACAUACCCUUUUCUACGGAAUAGCUCUGGGAAACUGGAAUUAAUACCGUAUACGCCCUACGGGGGAAAGAUUUAUCGGGGAAGGAUUGGCCCGCGUUGGAUUAGCUAGUUGGUGGGGUAAAGGCCUACCAAGGCGACGAUCCAUAGCUGAUCUGAGAGGAUGAUCAGCCACAUUGGGACUGAGACACGGCCCAAACUCCUACGGGAGGCAGCAGUGGGGAAUAUUGGACAAUGGGCGCAAGCCUGAUCCAGCCAUGCCGCGUGAGUGAUGAAGGCCCUAGGGUUGUAAAGCUCUUUCACCGGUGAAGAUAAUGACGGUAACCGGAGAAGAAGCCCCGGCUAACUUCGUGCCAGCCGCCGCAGUAACAC
rnacentral:rRNA from 1 species